rnacentral:rRNA from 1 species
ACCAGACUCCUACGGGAGGCAGCAGUGGGGAAUAUUGCACAAUGGGGGAAACCCUGAUGCAGCGACGCCGCGUGAGUGAAGAAGUAUUUCGGUAUGUAAAGCUCUAUCAGCAGGAACGAGACAAGACGGUACCUGACUAAGAAGCCCCGGCUAACUACGUGCCAGCAGCCGCGGUAAUACGUAGGGGGCAAGCGUUAUCCGGAAUCACUGGGUGUAAAGGGAGCGUAGACGGCUGUGCAAGCCUGAAGUGAAAGGCGGGGGCCCAACCCCUGGACUGCUUUGGGAACUGUACGGCUGGAGUGCAGGAGAGGUAAGUGGAAUUCCUAGUGUAGCGGUGAAAUGCGUAGAUAUUAGGAGGAACACCAGUGGCGAAGGCGGCUUACUGGACUGUAACUGACGUUGAGGCUCGAAGGCGUGGGGAGCAAACAGGAUUAGAUACCCCGGUAAC